ensembl:lncRNA
GAUGAACUUGAGUGCUUGUCAAGAUCAGAGCUUAGGUUCCUGAAGCAUUGAAGGAUCUCUGUGCCCAAGACUACGAAAAUGUUUUGGUGAGAAUAACCUCACAUUGAUCAGUUCACGCCAAGGAGCUCCCUUUCCUGCUGCAGCACCACUGCUUGGUCCAUUAGAGCUCAGGGAGGGACCUGACGCCUGGUCAUCUGAGUCCUGGUCUGAAAUGUGUAAGAAGGGGUCAGAAGGCCUUGGGAGAACUGAAAAAGAAGUCACUGGCCUGGCUUCAGUCACCUGUCCCCAGACCAAACCACAGAAGAUCAAUGUGAUAGCUGGAGCUCUAGCUGCCACAUUGGACCAUGAAGUGAAUUUGAAGAUGCAAGUCAUAUACUAAGGAUGGCAGAACAAAAAGAGGAAAUCCGAAACUUUGAUGACACUGUAGCUCCCAUACCAGCCAGAAUUCUGUUUUAUUUUGUGUGAUAGAGAAAUAGGCUUCUAUUUUAUUGAAACCAUUGUUAUUUCCUCCUUCACCUGGGACAUCACAAACCUAGGGAAUUUUUGGAAGGCCUUGACUAAACAGUGGAAAAUUAAGGAUUUUAUUUGUUUUUUGGUAUGUUCAUUUUUAAAGUUAAAUAAGCUGUAAAAUAAAGGUGAUAUAACUUGACAAAAUGGCCUCU